rnacentral:tRNA from 1 species
GGGGCUAUAACUCAGUGUGAGAGUGCCACGUCAGUAGCGUGGAAAUCGAGGGUUCAAAUCCUUUUAACCCGA